AGCGAACGCUGGCGGCAGGCUUAACACAUGCAAGUCGAACGGUCCUUCGGGAUAGUGGCGGACGGGUGUGUAACACGUGGGAACGUACCCUUAGGUUCGGAACAACACAGGGAAACUUGUGCUAAUACCGGAUGAGCCCUUCGGGGGAAAGAUUUAUCGCCUUUGGAGCGGCCCGCGUCUGAUUAGCUUGUUGGUGAGGUAAUGGCUCACCAAGGCUACGAUCAGUAGCUGGUCUGAGAGGAUGGCCAGCCACACUGGGACUGAGACACGGACCAGAAUCCUGCGGGAGGCAGCAGUGGGGAAUCUUGCGCAAUGGGCGAAAGCCUGACGCAGCCAUGCCGCGUGGAUGAUGAAGGUCUUAGGAUUGUAAAAUCCUUUCACCGGGGACGAUAAUGACGGUACCCGGAGAAGAAGCCCCGGCUAACUUCGUGCCAGCCGCCGCGGUAACAC
rnacentral:rRNA from 1 species